GCGACCCCAAGUUAGGCGGGACUACUCGCUGAGUUUAAGCAUAUCAAUAAGCGGAGGAAAAGA
rnacentral:rRNA from 1 species